rnacentral:misc_RNA from 1 species
AAAUGAAACCGCCAUUUUGUACAGUUUCGCCAAAGUGAUUUGUUUACUGAUAACCAUUGUUAAUUCUACUAAUUGAUACAGAACUCUACUAUUUUAGGGUACUUAUAAUAUUAUUAUAGUCUAUAGCGGCCAACAGACCCGACGAAAUGGAUAACCAAAGAGAGAAAGAACGCGACCGUUCAAAGCGUGGAGACAGGCCUUCCAGGUUUUCAGACGCUCAAAGAGACCGCUCCAAUGACCGCGAAGCGCGAUCAGAUGGAAAACGCUUGUUCGUGUCUAACAUUCCAUACGAGUUCCGUUGGACUGAGCUGAAAGACUUAUUCAAGGAAAAGGUUGGUGAUGUGGCAUACGUAGAGCUGUAUAAUGACGACAAUGGGAAACCACGAGGUUGUGGUGUCGUUGAGUUCACUAACACGGAGGCCAUGAAGAAAGCUCUCUUUGUGAUGCACAGAUAUGAACUCAACGGAAGGAAGCUGGUGUUAAAAGAAGAGACAGGUAAUGAACGCAACAGGGUGGGUUCUGCCAGGCAAGGUGGUGGGGGCGGCGGCGGCGGCGGCAACAGGAACAACAGGGAUGAUAAAGACGGAUGGGGAAUGAUGAAACCACGUGAGCCAGAAAACUUCAAUACAUACGGACUCAGUCUUGAAUUCCUUGACUCUAUCAAUGUGCAGCCUCCACUAGUAAAGAAAGUUUUUGUUGCCAAUCUUGACUACAAAGCGGAUCGUGCCAAAAUAAAGGAGAUCUUCAAAAUGGCGGGCAAAGUCCGCAACAUAGACCUGGCGAUAGACAAGGACGGCAACAGCAGAGGCUUCGCCGUCAUCGAGUACGACCAUCCGGUUGAAGCCGUGCAGGCAAUAUCCAUGUUCGACAAGCAAAUGCUAUACGAACGGCGCAUGACAGUCCGAAUGGACCGCGGCAACUCAGAAAAGUCAGAACUGCGCCUGCCCGAAGGUUUGAAAGGCAUCGGUCUAGGCUUGGGGCCUAAUGGCGAACCACUAAGGGAUGUAGCUAGGAAUCUGCCACAGAAUUCUAACGGGCCGAACUUGAACCUGAAUAAUAAUAAUUCGUCGUUGGGAACGGGAGUGCUGGGGGCUGUGCCCACGGCUUCUGUCGCCCUGAAUGGGCUGGGAGCUGGUCUGGCCGCGAACCCGCUGGCUACAAACACUUUGGGAGGAGGACUGGGAUUACAGGCACUAGGUCUGACCGGUCUCGGCGCCCUCCAAAACCAGCUUCUCCAGCAAGGCCUCACCGCCAGCGACCUGGCCACCGUGCUCACCGCGCAAGCGCAGGCCCAGGCCCAAGCCCAGGCUCAAGCCCAAGUAGCGCAGGCUGCCAAUGUCGGGGUCAAUGUCAACACUGGCCUGAAUCUGAAUAAUGACUUGAGCGCUAGUGUGCUGGGCAAUAACGCUUUGAGUAGUAAUGUCAUGGGAGGAAACUCUUCUAUGAGCAGCGGGCCGCUUUCAGCAUCCCGUAGCCAAAUGGUCGGAGUGACCGGGUCUGGACAGAGCUACGGGCGGGAGUCCAGCGUGCAACAGAACUCGCGGGACAAGUCUUCCGACAUGGUUGCUAUCACUAAUCUUCCGCCAACCGUGACAUGGCAGCUGAUCCGCGAGAAGUUCAGCGAGUGUGGAGACGUGAAAUUCGCCGAGAUGACCGGCCCCGACUCCGCCAUCGUUCGCUUCCACAAGGAGUGGGACGCCGAUCGGGCUAUCAAAAUGUUCGACAGGACCCGCAUUGACGGGAGAACUAUAGACGUACGAUUUUUCUGAGACGAGGAUACAAGGUUACAAUAUGGAUUAAAAAUGGAACUGACCAAUCCAAUGACGCCAAGAGGGUACCAGACUAUAGUGGCUACAGGCACAGCCUCUUGCCAACAUUCGUGUAUCCCGAAAUGAUUCACGUUGACGCAUGGCACACAAUAGGCGUGUUCGAAGGCUUAAAGUCGACGGAACCGCCUGAGCCGCUAGAUGGAACACAGGAGACACGACGCCAAAGUAUAUACCUACUCGCGCUCCGCAGCCAGCAAAGGUAAUUUGGUGAACUACAGUGUUAGCAAGUGUUAUUUUGAAUAGAAGUUUAAUUUAUUAUACAACUAUUUCUGUUAUGAAUGUACCCACUCAUUAUUAAAAGACUGAAUACAAUUUACA